GACGAACGCUGGCGGCGUGCUUAACACAUGCAAGUCGAACGGGUCUGCCCUGUUUUUUGCGGGGUGGGUCAGUGGCGAACGGGUGAGUAACACGUGAGUAACCUGCCCCUCACUUCUGGAUAACCGCUUGAAAGGGUGGCUAAUACGGGGUGUUCUGGCUGUGCCGCAUGGUGUGGCUGGGAAAGAUUCACUUUUGUGGUGUUUUGGUGGGGGAUGGGCUCGCGGCCUAUCAGCUUGUUGGUGGGGUGAUGGCCUGCCAAGGCUUUGACGGGUAGCCGGCAUGAGAGGGUGGGCGGUCACACUGGGACUGAGAUACGGCCCAGACUCCUGCGGGAGGCAGCAGUGGGGGGUAUUGCACAAUGGGCGGAAGCCUGAUGCAGCGACGUCGCGUGAGGGAUGGAGGCCUUCGGGUUGUGAACCUCUUUCGCCGGUGAAGAAGGUCCUGCUCUUUGUGGUGGGGUUGACGGUAGCCGGGUUAUGAAGCGCCGGCUAACUACGUG
rnacentral:rRNA from 1 species